UAAAGAGGAGUGUCAUUUUUGGGGAGUUUUUUAAAUGAAGGAGGUAUCUUGUUUUACAUUAUUAAGGAUAUGAAAUUUAUGUUUUACCUUUUGUAUAAUGGUGUGAAGAAGGGAGGGCCAAUGGUUUUUGGUGUUCACUAAGCGAGAGGGUAAUGCUUGGAGGAGGACAGGUGUUUCAAUACCUUUCCUUGACAAGUAAGUUCGAAAUGAAAAUCGUCUCUCGGAGUAGAUUGGAGAUAUGGGAAAGGGCCCGGUGGGGGCUGGGGAUGUAAGGGGACAGCUUUUAUGUCAAUAAUUUGAUUACUUUUUUAUAUUAGAUGCUCUUGAAGAUAAUAAUUAUGUGGUGGAGAACAUAUUUUAAGAAUUUUACAAAAAGUAUAAUUCUUUUUCUUUUUUUUAAGAAGUGAAAUUUUGAAGUAGAUUUGAGUAAGGAUUGGGGGAGGAAUUUGGCAAAUGUUUAAGAUUUCAGUAAAGUAGUUUACUAAAAGCUAAGUUAGUUGAUUAGUCUAAUAGCUGGUGUGACCUGCUCCAUGUUUAUUAAAUAAAUGGCGGCCUAAGGCUUUAAUGUAGCGUAAUAAUUUGUCUAUUAAUUGUAGUCUAGUGAAGGGUUAAAAUUGCUGGGGCUUUCUUCUCCAAUGUUUUAAAAAUUCCUUGGAGGUGAAAAUGCCUUCUUAGUUAUAAAAGAAAAAAAGACCCUAGGUAGUUAAGGUUUAUUGAUUUGGUAGAAGUUGAGAGGCCUUUGCUGGGGUAGCGUCGGUUUAUUGGCUAAUUUCUGGGUUUAGGGUCUGUGAGAUUUUUAAAGGUACUACUAACCCUAGGGGUAACAGCGCAAUCUGUAGGAAGAGUUCAUAUUAAUCUACAGGUUUACGACCUCGAUGUCGACUUAUGAUAGGUGUAGGCGCAGUAGCUUAUAUUUUAUGUUUGUUCACCAUGUAGUAUCUUACGUGAGUUGGGUUAAGAACGGGGUAACUUAGUUUGGAUUUUUUCUUUAAGGGUGUAAUUUAUUAGUACGAAAGGAAGUUAAAUAAAGUGAGAAUUUU
rnacentral:rRNA from 1 species